rnacentral:rRNA from 1 species
UACGUAGGGACCAAGCGUUGUUCGGAUUUACUGGGCGUAAAGGGCGCGUAGGCGGCUUGUCAAGUCACUUGUGAAAUCUCUGGGCUUAACCCAGAACGGCCAAGUGAAACUGACAUGCUAGAGUGCAGAAGGGGCAAUCGGAAUUCUUGGUGUAGCGGUGAAAUGCGUAGAUAUCAAGAGGAACACCUGAGAUGAAGACGGGUUGCUGGGCUGACACUGACGCUGAGGCGCGAAAGCCAGGGGAGCAAACGGG